rnacentral:rRNA from 1 species
UGGGGAAUAUUGGACAAUGGGCGAAAGCCUGAUCCAGCCAUGCCGCGUGCGUGAAGAAGGCCUUAUGGUUGUAAAGCACUUUAAGUGGGGAGGAAAAGCUUAUGGAUAACACCCAUAGGUUCUGACGUUACCCACAGAAUAAGCACCGGCUAACUCUGUGCCAGCAGCCGCGGUAAUACAGAGGGUGCAAGCGUUAAUCGGAAUUACUGGGCGUAAAGCGAGCGUAGGUGGUUUAUUAAGUCAGAUGUGAAAUCCCUGGGCUUAACCUAGGAACUGCAUCUGAUACUGAUAAACUAGAGUAGGUGAGAGGAAAGUAGAAUUCCAGGUGUAGCGGUGAAAUGCGUAGAGAUCUGGAGGAAUACCGAUGGCGAAGGCAGCUUUCUGGCAUCAUACUGACACUGAGGUUCGAAAGCGUGGGUAGCAAACAGGAUUAGAUACCCUGGUAGUCCACGCCGUAAACGAUGUCUACCAGUCGUUGGGUCUUUUAAAGGCUUAGUGACGCAGUUAACGCGAUAAGUAGACCGCCUGGGGAGUACGGCCGCAAGGUUA